rnacentral:rRNA from 1 species
CACGUAGGGGGCAAGCGUUUGUCCGGAUUUAUUGGGCGUAAAGAGCUCGUAGGCGGCUUAGUAAGUCGGGUGUGAAACCUCCAGGCUCAACCUGGGAGACGCCACCCGAUACUGCUGUGGCUAGAGUCCGGUAGGGGGAGCGUGGAAUUCCUGGUGUAGCGGUGAAAUGCGCAGAUAUCAGGAGGAACACCAGCGGCGAAGGCGGCGCUCUGGGCCGGUACUGACGCUGAGGAGCGAAAGCGUGGGGAGCAAACAGG